GGAUAUUGUUUUGUGCCAUAUGCAGCCAACUUGCCUGUUUUUGUGCAUAGCAAUCACAAGGUACCAUCUUGUGCAAAACGUACAAGGGAAAUCACUGUGAUUGGAAUGAGAGGUGGCCCACAGCUGUUUACUUUUGAAUUUUGCUCAUGUGAGAGUGACACCGUCACACUACUACGCCAUCGCCUUUGGGGUUCUUCCCCAGAAAUACCAUCUGUGGCAUUUAAACUGGAUGUCAUGGAGUGGUUGCGUGCAUUAGUGCUUGAAUGCCAGGUGUCAGUUAAGGGCUUUGUCGAUGCAUUGGCAACCCGACUUAGCAAGAUAGACAGCAUGAGCAGCAAGAAGGUUAAUGGAGUAUAUCAGGCCCUAGUAACUGAUGCAUUUACAAUGUACAUGCACCAUGAAUACCAGUUUGCAGCAUUUGCAACACAUUGAUCCAGAUCUUGAAUGAUGGAACUGAUUGUCUGCCUGCCAUGUGGCCAAAGAAGACAUUGAGGUUAAUGCAGAAGACCCUGCAACUGAUGGAAGUCAAAAAGUGUUGUCUGAAAAUAACCGAAUAUUUUCAUUUGAUGCCAACUUUGGCCUAUCACGGAAAAAGUCAUCUGGCAAAAGCCCCGGUGAGGCUUUCCACAGGGCGUUACUUCCUGGACCAGACAGAAGUAGAUGAUUUU